GUGGGGAAUAUUGCACAAUGGGGGAAACCCUGAUGCAGCAACGCCGCGUGAGUGAAGAAGUAUUUCGGUAUGUAAAGCUCUAUCAGCAGGGAAGAAAAUGACGGUACCUGACUAAGAAGCCCCGGCUAACUACGUGCCAGCAGCCGCGGUAAUACGUAGGGGGCAAGCGUUAUCCGGAUUUACUGGGUGUAAAGGGAGCGUAGACGGCGCUGCAAGUCUGAAGUGAAAGCCCGGGGCUCAACCCCGGGACUGCUUUGGAAACUGUAAUGCUAGAGUGCUGGAGAGGUAAGUGGAAUUCCUAGUGUAGCGGUGAAAUGCGUAGAUAUUAGGAGGAACACCAGUGGCGAAGGCGGCUUACUGGACAGUAACUGACGUUGAGGCUCGAAAGCGUGGGGAGCAAACAGGAUUAGAUACCCUGGUAGUCC
rnacentral:rRNA from 1 species